UGGGGAAUAUUGGACAAUGGGGGCAACCCUGAUCCAGCCAUGCCGCGUGUGUGAAGAAGGCCUUCGGGUUGUAAAGCACUUUCAGUAGGGAGGAAAGGUAGCGUGUUAAUAGCCCGUUACUGUGACGUUACCUACAGAAGAAGGACCGGCUAACUCCGUGCCAGCAGCCGCGGUAAUACGGAGGGUCCGAGCGUUAAUCGGAAUUACUGGGCGUAAAGCGUGCGCAGGCGGUUUGUUAAGCAAGAUGUGAAAGCCCCGGGCUCAACCUGGGAAUUGCAUUUUGAACUGGCGAACUAGAGUCUUGUAGAGGGGGGUAGAAUUCCAGGUGUAGCGGUGAAAUGCGUAGAGAUCUGGAGGAAUACCGGUGGCGAAGGCGGCCCCCUGGACAAAGACUGACGCUCAGGCACGAAAGCGUGGGGAGCAAACAGGAUUAGAUACCCUGGUA
rnacentral:rRNA from 1 species